GUGGAGGUGGAAGGCCUACGGGUCGUCAACUUCUUUUCUCGGAGAAGAAACAAUGACGGUAUCUGAGGAAUAAGCAUCGGCUAACUCUGUGCCAGCAGCCGCGGGUCGAGUCGACGAUCU
rnacentral:ncRNA from 1 species